AGCGAACGCUGGCGGCGUGCCUAACACAUGCAAGUCGAACGUGAAAGGGAGCAAUCCCAAGUAAAGUGGCGUACGGGUGAGUAACACGUAGGUAAUCUACCCCAGAAUCUGGAAUAACCGGCCGAAAGGCUGGCUAAUACUGGAUAGAGCGACGGAAUCCGUAAUUGGGUUUUUCGGGAAAGGGAGCCUGUAAAAAGGCCUUCGUUCUGGGAUGAGCCUGCGUCCCAUCAGCUAGUUGGUGAGGUAAAAGCUUACCAAGGCAAUGACGGGUAGCUGGUCUGAGAGGACGGUCAGCCACACUGGGACUGAAACAAGGUCCAGAAUGCUACGGGAGGGAGCAGUGGGGAAUCUUGCGCAAUGGACGAAAGUCUGACGGAGCAACGCCGCGUGAGUGAAGAAGGCCUUCGGGUUGUAAAGCUCUGUCGAGUGGGACGAAAAUGCUUGGAGUUCACAGCUACAGGAAGUGACGGUACCACUAAAGGAAGCACCGGCUAACUCCGUG
rnacentral:rRNA from 1 species